rnacentral:rRNA from 1 species
GGCGGACGGGUGAGUAAUAUAUAGGUAAUGUGCCCUAGAGAAGAGGAUAACAGUUGGAAACGACUGCUAAUACUCUAUAUGCCUUUAAGACAAAAGUCUGCAAGGGAAAUAUUUAUAGCUCUAGGAUCGGCCUGUACGGUAUCAGCUAGUUGGUGAGGUAAUGGCUCACCAAGGCAAUGACGCCUAACUGGUUUGAGAGGAUGAUCAGUCACACUGGAACUGAGACACGGUCCAGACUCCUACGGGAGGCAGCAGUGGGGAAUAUUGCACAAUGGGGGAAACCCUGAUGCAGCAACGCCGCGUGGAGGAUGACACAUUUCGGUGCGUAAACUCCUUUUAUAUAGGAAGAUAAUGACGGUACUAUAUGAAUAAGCGCCGGCUAACUCCGUGCCAGCAGCCGCGGUAAUACGGAGGGCGCAAGCGUUACUCGGAAUCACUGGGCGUAAAGAGCGUGUAGGCGGGUUAAUAAGUUUGAAGUGAAAUCCUAUGGCUCAACCAUAGAACUGCUUUGAAAACUGUUAACCUAGAAUAUGGGAGAGGUAGAUGGAAUUUCUGGUGUAGGGGUAAAAUCCGUAGAGAUCAGAAGGAAUACCGAUUGCGAAGGCGAUCUACUGGAACAUUAUUGACGCUGAGACGCGAAAGCGUGGGGAGCAAACAGGAUUAGAUACCCUGGUAGUCCACGCCCUAAACGAUGUACACUAGUUGUUGUGAGGCUAGACCUUGCAGUAAUGCAGUAAACACAUUAAGUGUAC